rnacentral:lncRNA from 1 species
CUGGAUUUAAGCUGGUACAUACCACCGGGUUCUCAUUGCCUGCUGCUAGGCCCAGCCACUGUAUUUCCUUUAAGGGACUGGCCACCAGAGCUGGAUCAUGGUCCACUAUUAAUAUUUCUUAUGACCAGAGGAAAGUACACAGAGCAUCGAAAGAGAGAUCGACAGUAGAAUUAUGUUUAAAUGAAUAUUUCUCAUUUUGCCAGCAGAACUUUUGACCUUCUCCAGCUUGCUCUAUGCCCUGCAAGAGCAGCACAGGUA